GGUGCCGGCUCACCUCGCCUGACUCGCGGUGCUCAGAAGAAAGGUGGCAGGAAUGCUAACGCUGGCAAGCAAGUUGAAGCGGGAUGAUGGUCUCAAAGGAUCCCGGACAUCAGCCUCCACAUCUGACUCUACUCGGAGGGUUUCUGUGAGAGACAAGUUGCUUGUUAAAGAGGUUGCAGAACUUGAAGCUAAUUUACCCUGUACAUGUAAAGUACAUUUUCCUGAUCCAAGCAAGCUUCAUUGCUUUCAGCUGACUGUAAGCCCAGAUGAGGGUUACUACCAGGGUGGAAAAUUUCAAUUUGAAACUGAAGUUCCCAAUGCCUACAACAUGGUGCCUCCCAAGGUGAAAUGCUUAACUAAAAGCUGGCACCCCAACAUCACAGAAACAGGGGAAAUAUGUCUAAGUUUACUAAGAGAACACUCAAUUGAUGUCACUGGCUGGGCUCCCACUAGAACAUUAAAGGAUGUUGUUUGGGGAUUAAAUUCUUUAUUUACUGAUCUUUUGAAUUUUGAUGAUCCACUGAAUAUUGAAGCUGCAGAACAUCAUUUGCGGGACAAGGAGGAUUUUUGGGACAAAGUGGAUGAAUACAUCAAACGCUAUGCCAGAUGAUAAGAGGAGAGAUCGCAGGUCUGAGGACUUUGUCACAGUUGUCUCUGAUGUGAAACAGCUCGAGGUAGCCCUCCUCCCCAUCCUCAUACUC